AGUAAUUUAAGGGAUAAAUUAUUAUACAAGAAAUUUUAUAGAUAUACAUACAUUGUUUUUGCUAGGAUAUAUCUAUUGCACCAACAGUGAAAUGCUUAAAUUGCUCAGUGCAGAUUUCAAUGAACUCAAUCAGGAAUCAUAUGGUUGAAUGUGGAAUGGAUAAUCACCAUAAACAAUUUAAGAAGGUCAUGAUCAAUGUAUGCUAUAAGCUUGCAUUAAUUCCUAUUACACAUUUACUGUGAAAUGUCACACUGUUUUUUUUUCACGUACUUAUUUUGAAAAUUGAAUGAAUAAUUUUUUAUCCGGCAAGUUUUUCUGGAACUCCAAUAAUGUCUGAACUGCAUGAAAUGUUUCCUGACCUUCAUGAUACUGCCAUAGAAGAAGCUGUAAGAGUUUGUGAGAGAGACAUUGAAGUGGCAGUUUCAUCAUUGUUGGAUCACAGCAAAGGAAUAUUACUUAAAGAGGACAUGCCUAAUUAUGGUGCUGUUGAUAGCGCAGACUCAGAUUCAGAAAAUCUUCAACAGGCAACAGCAGUUCUUCUGCAAGAAG